AUUGAACGCUGGCGGCAUGCCUUACACAUGCAAGUCGAACGGCAGCGCGGGAGCAAUCCUGGCGGCGAGUGGCGAACGGGUGAGUAAUAUAUCGGAACGUGCCCUGGAGUGGGGGAUAACUAGUCGAAAGACUAGCUAGUACCGCAUACGAUCUACGGAUGAAAGUGGGGGAUCGCAAGACCUCAUGCUCGUGGAGCGGCCGAUAUCUGAUUAGCUAGUUGGUGGGGUAAAGGCCUACCAAGGCGACGAUCAGUAGCUGGUCUGAGAGGACGACCAGCCACACUGGGACUGAGACACGGCCCAGACUCCUACGGGAGGCAGCAGUGGGGAAUUUUGGACAAUGGGGGCAACCCUGAUCCAGCAAUGCCGCGUGUGUGAAGAAGGCCUUCGGGUUGUAAAGCACUUUUGUUCGGAAAGAAAUCGUCCUGGCUAAUAUCUGGGAUGGAUGACGGUACCGGAAGAAUAAGCACCGGCUAACUACGUGCCAGCCGCCGCAGUAAUAC
rnacentral:rRNA from 1 species